GGAAAGGGAAGUUUCCAGGUCCCUGCCCCACCUGAGGAAGGGUGGAGGUGAGCAGCAAGCUGACUCUUAAAAGGACAUGGAAACGAUGCUUUGGUGAGCAAGAAGAUUGAAGAGGAGACCUGGAGGAGGCACACAGAGCAGAGAGACAUGUGAAGAAGCUGCGCUUGCUUCUCAGCCUUGGGCUUGAACCAGGGACUUGGGGGACAUGGAAGGGGACCCUUGAAAGAGACAGAGAGAGCUUCAGCUUCACUUUGCUGGAACCCUCUUCAAGGCCCUGGAUUCAACUGGAACAAGAGCCCUCCUUUCACUUGCCCAUCUCCCUUCCUGCUGGAUUGUGUGUGAGCGCUUCAUUCACGACUUCCUGACACCCUGAGAACUUUCCCCAACUCUGUGCCUGCGUCUUCCCAUACAGGAGCAAAGGGCAUGCGGAGAAUUAUCUUUAAAGCACCUGGCAACCUUUGAAGGAGAAAUGACGGAAGUAAGAGCGAGCCACUGAAUUAUCUCUAAAGCUCUUGGUGGCCUCCAAAUCUAUGAAUCUGACAUUCAAGAAGGAAGAGUAUGUGCCUCAAUUCACUGAAAUUAUAGACAGUCAUCUCAGCUGUCAGCUCUGUCUCUGACUGAGAUCCACCCUGGCCAUUACUCUUCCUCUCUACUGUCAUCGCUGAGCUCCAACCACUUCACAUCUUACGGGGGUGACAGCAACAACCUCCUGAUUACUCUCUACUUCCACUUAGACCACGCCAAAUCUGUUUUCCACACAGCAGCCAAAAGUACUUUUUACGACAUGGUUUGAAUUAUGCCAUUUACCUCCUAACACUUUUGCCUGGCUCCCUGUCAUGCUU